rnacentral:rRNA from 1 species
GACGAACGCUGGCGGCGUGCUUAACACAUGCAAGUCGAACGAUGAAGCUGGAGCUUGCUCCGGUGGAUUAGUGGCGAACGGGUGAGUAACACGUGAGCAAUCUGCCCUUGACUCUGGAAUAACUGCGGGAAACUGUAGCUAAUACCGGAUACUUUCCUUGGUGGGCAUCCACUGGGGAAGAAAGAAUUUCGGUCAAGGAUGAGCUCGCGGCCUAUCAGCUAGUUGGUGAGGUAAUGGCUCACCAAGGCGACGACGGGUAGCCGGCCUGAGAGGGUGACCGGCCACACUGGAACUGAGACACGGUCCAGACUCCUACGGGAGGCAGCAGUGGGGAAUAUUGCACAAUGGGCGAAAGCCUGAUGCAGCAACGCCGCGUGAGGGACGAAGGCCUUCGGGUUGUAAACCUCUUUUAGCAGGGAAGAAGCGAAAAUGACGGUACCUGCAGAAAAAGCACCGGCUAACUACGUGCCAGCCGCCGCCGUAA